rnacentral:rRNA from 1 species
UGCGGUGGGUCCGCGCUGACUGCUUUUUUUCUUACACAUGUGUUUUUCUUUUUUUGAAAACUUUGCUUUGGUAGGCCUUCUAUAUGGGGCCUGCCAGAGAUUAAACUCAACCAAAUUUUAUUUAAUGUCAACCGAUUAUUUAAUAGUCAAAACUUUCAACAACGGAUCUCUUGGUUCUCGCAUCGAUGAAGAACGCAGCGAAAUGCGAUAAGUAAUAUGAAUUGCAGAUAUUCGUGAAUCAUCGAAUCUUUGAACGCACAUUGCGCCCUUUGGUAUUCCAAAGGGCAUGCCUGUUUGAGCGUCAUUUCUCCCUCAAACCCUCGGGUUUGGUGUUGAGCGAUACGCUGGGUUUGCUUGAAAGAAAGGCGGAGUAUAAACUAAUGGAUAGGUUUUUUCCACUCAUUGGUACAAACUCCAAAACUUCUUCCAAAUUCGACCUCAAAUCAGGUAGGACUACCCGCUGAACUUAAGCAUAUCAAUAAGCGGAGGAA